UAGGGAAUCUUCGGCAAUGGACGACAGUCUGACCGAGCAACGCCGCGUGAGUGAAGAAGGUUUUCGGAUCGUAAAACUCUGUUGUUAGAGAAGAACAAGGACGUUAGUAACUGAACGUCCCCUGACGGUAUCUAACCAGAAAGCCACGGCUAACUACGUGCCAGCAGCCGCGGUAAUACGUAGGUGGCAAGCGUUGUCCGGAUUUAUUGGGCGUAAAGCGAGCGCAGGCGGUUUCUUAAGUCUGAUGUGAAAGCCCCCGGCUCAACCGGGGAGGGUCAUUGGAAACUGGGAGACUUGAGUGCAGAAGAGGAGAGUGGAAUUCCAUGUGUAGCGGUGAAAUGCGUAGUUAUAUGGAGGAACACCAGUGGCGAAGGCGGCUCUCUGGUCUGUAACUGACGCUGAGGCUCGAAAGCGUGGGGAGCAAACAGG
rnacentral:rRNA from 1 species